CCAGUAGCUCAGCUUGGUAGAGCAAUGGAUUCUUAAUCCAUCGGUCGGAGGUUCGAAUCCUCCCUGG
rnacentral:tRNA from 1 species